GAUGAACGCUGACAGAAUGCUUAACACAUGCAAGUCCACUUGAACUUCGGUUUGGGUGGCGGACGGGUGAGUCACGCGUAAAGAACUUGCCUCACAGAUAGGGACAACAUUUGGAAACGAAUGCUAAUACCUGAUAUUAUGAUUAUAUGGCAUCGUAUAAUUAUGAAAGCUAUAUGCGCUGUGAGAGAGCUUUGCGUCCCAUUAGCUAGUUGGAGAGGUAACGGCUCACCAAGGCGAUGAUGGGUAGCCGGCCUGAGAGGGUGAUCGGCCACAAGGGGACUGAGACACGGCCCUUACUCCUACGGGAGGCAGCAGUGGGGAAUAUUGGACAAUGGACCAAGAGUCUGAUCCAGCAAUUCUGUGUGCACGAUGAAGUUUUUCGGAAUGUAAAGUGCUUUCAGUUGGGAAGAAAAAAUGACGGUACCAACAGAAGAAGUGACGGCUAAAUACGU
rnacentral:rRNA from 1 species